rnacentral:rRNA from 1 species
GGGUUGUGAGGUUAAGCGACUAAGCGUACACGGUGGAUGCCCUGGCAGUCAGAGGCGAUGAAGGGCGUGCUAAUCUGCGAUAAGCGCCGGUAAGGUGAUAUGAACCGUUAUAACCGGCGAUACCCGAAUGGGGAAACCCAGUGUGACUCGUCACACUAUCAUUAACUGAAUCCAUAGGUUAAUGAGGCGAACCGGGGGAACUGAAACAUCUAAGUACCCCGAGGAAAAGAAAUCAACCGAGAUUCCCCCAGUAGCGGCGAGCGAACGGGGAGGAGCCCAGAGCCUGAAUCAGCAUGUGUGUUAGUGGAAGCGUCUGGAAAGGCGCGCGAUACAGGGUGACAGCCCCGUACACAAAAGCGCAUGUGUUGUGAGCUCGAUGAGUAGGG